AUUGAACGCUGGCGGCAUGCUUUACACAUGCAAGUCGAACGGCAGCACGGGGGCAACCCUGGUGGCGAGUGGCGAACGGGUGAGUAAUACAUCGGAACGUGCCCGGUCGUGGGGGAUAACGUAGCGAAAGUUACGCUAAUACCGCAUACGAUCUGAGGAUGAAAGCGGGGGACCUUCGGGCCUCGCGCGAUCGGAGCGGCCGAUGUCAGAUUAGGUAGUUGGUGGGGUAAAGGCCUACCAAGCCGACGAUCUGUAGCUGGUCUGAGAGGACGACCAGCCACACUGGGGCUGAGACACGGCCCAGACUCCUACGGGAGGCAGCAGUGGGGAAUUUUGGACAAUGGGCGCAAGCCUGAUCCAGCCAUUCCGCGUGCAGGACGAAGGCCUUCGGGUUGUAAACUGCUUUUGUAUGGAACGAAAAGGCUCUGGCUAAUACCUGGGGCUCAUGACGGUACCGGAAGAAUAAGCACCGGCUAACUACGUG
rnacentral:rRNA from 1 species